rfam:Fukomys damarensis contig132133, whole genome shotgun sequence.
GGGCGUGAGUGCGAUCAGGCUGUGACAUGCGUCCCCCCUUUUGAUCUCCUGGCAUGAUUUGGCUGAUCUAGCUGGCUAGGUGGGUGUCCCCUUCCUCCCUCACUGCUGUGUGUGUGUCUCUCCUGAAGCUGUGUGCUUGGUCCAAGAGGACAAUCUUCCCAGACACGAGAGGAUCAUUUUUCCUCUUUCAAGGGCAGAUAAGCAACUGUGUUCCCUGGAUACAACCUCCUAACAAGCUCUCAAGGUUGUGCUUUCAAAUUAAUAGUUCUACAAAACAUGGCCUUCAGUUGGAUAACUGAAAACCACUUCUUUAAUGAUUUUGUUGCAACCAAACAGUGAUGGUGGAAAAUGAAUCAUUCUGUU